rnacentral:rRNA from 1 species
UACGGGGGGGGUAAGCGUUGUUCGGAAUUACUGGGCGUAAAGGGCUCGUAGGCGGCCAACUAAGUCAUACGUGAAAUCCCUCAGCUUAACUGGGGAACUGCGUGUGAUACUGGAUGGCUUGGAUUUGGGAGAGGGAUGCGGAAUUCCAGGUGUAGCGGUGAAAUGCGUAGAUAUCAGGAGGAACACCGGUGGCGAAGGCGCUGCUCUGGGCCGGUACUGACGCUGAGGAGCGAAAGCGUGGGUAGCAAACAGG